rnacentral:rRNA from 1 species
AAAUGAAUUGACGGGGGCUCGCACAAGCAGUGGAACAUGGGGUUUAAUUCGACAAUAAGCGGGGCACCUCACCAAGGUUUGACAUCUACGGAAUCCCCUGGAAACAGGGGAGUGCCCGCAAGGGAGCCGUAAGACAGGUGCUGCACGGUCGUCGUCAGCUCGUGGCAUGAGUUGUUCCGUUAAGUCGGGAAACGAGCGCAACCCUUAUCGUCUGUUAAAUUUCUCAGGCGAGACUGCCUCCGUAAGGGGGAGGAAGGUGGGGAUGACGUCAGAUCAGCGUGGCCUUUAUACCUUGGGCGACACCCGUGUUACAAUGGCUGGUACAGAGGGUUGCAAUAUCGCAAGAUGGAGCUAAUCCCUAAAACCAGUCCCAGUUCGGAUUGCAGUCUGAAACUCGACUGCAUGAAGCCGGAAUUGCUAGUAACCGUAGAUCAGCCACGCUACGGUGAAUACGUUCUCGAGCCUUGCACACACCGCCCGU